rnacentral:tRNA from 1 species
GAGGGUAUAGCUCAAGUGGCAGAGGGUGUGCUUAGCAUGCACAAAUUCCUGGGUUCAAUCCCCAGUACGCCCU